UGUCAAUGUAUGCUAACACAUGCAAGAAGCCAAGCUUUGCAACCAGAGCGAUUCUCCUGAGUACCGAGACACUGAAGGCAAGGGGCCUGUAUGGUGAAGCAGCCAUGGAGUUUAUCAGGAUGACUGGAGAGGACUCAGAUUUGAGGAGUGCCCUGUUCUUAGAGCAGGGUGCACAUUGUUUUAUCAACAUGAAGACACCAAUGGCUCGUAAAUACGCGUUUCACAUGAUACUGGCUGGCCACAGGUAUAGCAAGGCUGGACAG